rnacentral:lncRNA from 1 species
CCAAUGUGCUUGCUGACAAAGCCAGACCCUGCCUUCUGGCUGCCUUAGAUUUCAUGGCAUAAAGUAGUGCUUCCUGGACGCUGAUGCUUGUGAGGUUGGAAAUGUUUUUCUGCUGGAAAAAGUCCAGAAAAGGUAGUUAUGUGUGGGCUGAUGUUAGUGCAAAAUGGAAAGUCUACUGUCUUCCAGUUAUAGAAGGGGAAGUGAGAAAUGAUGACAUGCACUUUGAACUCAGUAUCUUAGAAACGGGCCACCCUUGCUCUCCUCCCACAAUCCAAAUCAAUUUCUGAAAAAGCACUCUGGUCAGCCUGGAUAAUGCACCCAGCCCUGCUGAUGAGAACAGCGGAGGGAAAUGUCUCGAUGAACAGUUUCAUCUGGAUCACAAGGAUUUAGGAGGGACAGCUCCUAAAAUGGAGGGAGGUAGGACAGACUAAGAAGCCACAGAUUUUCCCUGCAAUGACAUUGAUCCUUUGGUGGGUAUUAAUUAGUUCACAGAAGAAACUCCAAAGAAAUUUGUGGAUUACUGGAUAGCAUGAAUUAUGGAGGAAAUAUUGCUGCUCUUCCUAAGUGAGAGACCUUUAGGGUGAAAUGACUCAUUUCCUCUGUUGAAUGGAAGCACCAUUCUUACAUAUUACUUCCACAUUAGGACACUAAUAUUUGAAAACUAUACCAGACUGCAUUUUGAAUGACGACUUUGUACCCAGUAUCUUCACAUGAGUUACUCUUUUGAUCCUCACAAGCCUCCAGAAGAGCUGCUUGGAAGAGAACUGCCAGAUGCUGCUGUUAAUCAAGGUUGUGAAGUUGCAUACAAAUUGAGAAGGAAAGGAGGAGGAAACAGCAUCAUAAAUUUUGGCACAAAAGUGUAAAGCUUUUAAAGACCCUCAAUAUGUCACUGCUCCUA